rnacentral:rRNA from 1 species
CACGUAGGUGGGUCGCUAAGUCGGGGGUGAAAUCCUGGAGCUCAACUCCAGAACUGCCUUCGAUACUGGCGAUCUUUGAGUCCGGGAGAGGUGGGUGGAACUGCGAGUGUAGAGGUGAAAUUCGUAGAUAUUCGCAAGAACACCAGUGGCGAAGGCGGCUCACUGGCCCGGUACUGACACUGAGGUGCGAAAGCGUGGGAGCAAACA